AACGUAGGAGGCGAGCGUUAUCCGGAGUUAUUGGGCGUAAAGAGCUCGUAGGCGGCUUGGCACGUCGGGUGUGAAAGCCCGGGGCUUAACCCCGGGUCUGCAUUCGAUACGGGCUAGCUAGAGUGUGGUAGGGGAGAUCGGAAUUCCUGGUGUAGCGGUGAAAUGCGCAGAUAUCAGGAGGAACACCGGUGGCGAAGGCGGAUCUCUGGGCCAUUACUGACGCUGAGGAGCGAAAGCGUGGGGAGCGAACAGG
rnacentral:rRNA from 1 species